UACGUAGGUGGCAAGCGUUGUCCGGAAUUACUGGGUGUAAAGCGCGUGUAGGCGGCAGACCAAGUCGGCGGUGAAAGCGCCCGGCUCAACUGGGCGAGGUCCGUGGAAACUGGUCAGCUGGAGGACGGUAGAGGCGAGUGGAAUUCCCGGUGUAGUGGUGAAAUGCGUAGAGAUCGGGAGGAACACCUGUGGCGAAGGCGGCUCGCUGGGCCGGUCCUGACGCUGAGGUGCGAAAGCGUGGGGAGCAAACAGG
rnacentral:rRNA from 1 species